UACAGAGGUCUCAAGCGUUGUUCGGAUUCAUUGGGCGUAAAGGGUGUGUAGGUGGCGCCGUAAGUCGGGUGUGAAAUUUCGGAGCUUAACUCCGAAACUGCAUUCGAUACUGCGGUGCUUGAGGACUGGAGAGGAGACUGGAAUUCAUGGUGUAGCAGUGAAAUGCGUAGAGAUCAUGAGGAAGACCAGUGGCGAAGGCGGGGUCUCUGGACAGUUCCUGACACUGAGGCACGAAAGCUAGGGGAGCAAACAGG
rnacentral:rRNA from 1 species